rnacentral:rRNA from 1 species
CACCUCGAUGUCGGCUCGUCACAUCCUGGGGCUGGAGAAGGUCCCAAGGGUCCGGCUGUUCGCCGGUUAAAGCGGCACGCGAGCUGGGUUCAGAACGUCGCGAGACAGUUCGGUCCUCUAUCCUCUGUGGGCGUUGGAGAAUUGAGGGGUUCAGACCUUAGUACGAGAGGACCGGGUCUGACGCACCACUGGUGCACCGGUUGUUCCGUCAGGAGCACGGCCGGGUAGCUAAGUGCGGAAGGAAUAAGCGCUGAAAGCAUCUAAGCGCCAAGUCCCUCCCAAGAUGAGUUCUCCCUAUAGGAGCGUGGAAGACGACCACGUAGAUAGGGUGCAGGUGUAAUUGCAGUAAUGUAUUGAGCCGAGCACUACUAACAUCCAACAGACCUUAUACA